rnacentral:ncRNA from 1 species
AUUGAUAGAGGCGCAAACCUUAAUGAGUAGUAAUCUGGAGAAGCGUGGGCUUCGAGGAAGGGUUUAUGAAAGGGAAGGAUUGCCGAAGUGAAAAUAAGUCCCAUGAUUAUUUUUGCUGGUUCUGUUAUUGAAUAAAUACAGAAUUGUCAGUAUGAACUGAUUCAUACUGGAGGGCUAUCUCA